GUCCUGCCUGUCCUGGAUCCCAGGCCGUGGGGACGCGCGGGAAGAGAGGCCGUGGUAGGCAGAGUUCAGGUCUGGGGACACUGACCGCGGUGUCAGGUCACUUCUCUGCCGGCCUAGGCAGGAAGGGAACCCAGCAGGCAGAGCCAGCAUGGGAUGGCGGGGCUGGCCAUCUCAGGCAUGAUCAGGCCCACGGGAAAGUCGGAUGUCAGGGCGCCAGGGCCUCUGGGUGGGGGCUUCAGAGGAGUUGCAGUCGACUCCUGGAGCAGAGGAUUCACAUCUGCAAUAUAGAGGGGAGACCCCUAGGAGCUCGGGGACUGCGGAGGCCCCUAGGCCCAGCAUGGGGCGUCCAGAGUUGUUGCCUUGUGGACCAAGACAGCCCACAGCCCAUGGCAGCUUCCAGAGCCAGAAGAAGGGGAGUCAUCUCUGAAGAGCCCUGGACUACCUCCUUGCGGACCUCAUUGGCCAGAACUUUCUGGCUCUCAUGCUCACCACAAGGCCAAUCACUAGCAAGAUAAAAAAGGAGCACCCCGAAGGGCCGAGACCAGCUGUGCCUCUGGGCAGGGGAGGGGCUGCCCCUUCCUUACCUGAACUCAAUUCAUUUUAUUUUUAUUUUUUAACAUAAAGAAAAGGCAAUGGGAAUUCAGUGAGUGGACAGCUAGCCACCUCUGUGGCUGCCUGCCGUGUGAGCACGGGCCAUGUUCUGUCUUUGAUCUCCUCUGUGAAACGGGAAUAACAGCAGGGGCUAGGUUCUGACCCCUCAGACCUCACCCCUGAGCUUUCCAAGCCUGCAUCCAUUUGCUCUUCAUCCCUACUCUCAAGACUUUCAGCAUCCCAUCUGCAGAUGAGGACUCAGAGGCCCCAGGUUCCGUAGCUGAGCUGAGGGGCCAGAGGUCAGCCCAGAGGCCGUUGGCUCCGUG
rnacentral:lncRNA from 1 species